GUCCCAGCCGAGCUCCAGCCGACAAGUCCGAACUCUCUGGUAAGCUACGACGAAGGCCACUACCCUGCUCCACUCCCUGUAACGGAUUCCAUGUGGUUCCACCACUCUCUGGCAAGCUAUGACGAAGGUCACUACCCUGCUCCACUCUCUGCAAUGGAUUUCACGCGGUUCCACCACUCUCUGGCAAGCCACGACGAAGGCCACUACCC
rnacentral:lncRNA from 1 species